UACGAAGGGAGCUAGCGUUGUUCGGAAUUACUGGGCGUAAAGCGCACGUAGGCGGCUUUGUAAGUUAGAGGUGAAAGCCCAGGGCUCAACCCUGGAAUUGCCUUUAAGACUGCAUCGCUUGAAUCAUGGAGAGGUGAGUGGAAUUCCGAGUGUAGAGGUGAAAUUCGUAGAUAUUCGGAAGAACACCAGUGGCGAAGGCGACUCACUGGACAUGUAUUGACGCUGAGGUGCGAAAGCGUGGGGAGCAAACAGG
rnacentral:rRNA from 1 species